CCUACGGGGGGCUGCAGUGGGGAAUAUUGCACAAUGGGCGCAAGCCUGAUGCAGCCAUGCCGCGUGUGUGAAGAAGGUCUUCGGGUUGUAAAGCACUUUCAGCGGGGAGGAAGGCGUUAAGGUUAAUAACCUUGGCGAUUGACGUUACCCGCAGAAGAAGCACCGGCUAACUCCGUGCCAGCAGCCGCGGUAAUACGGAGGGUGCAAGCGUUAAUCGGAAUUACUGGGCGUAAAGCGCACGCAGGCGGUCUGUCAAGUCGGAUGUGAAAUCCCCGGGCUCAACCUGGGAACUGCAUUCGAAACUGGCAGGCUAGAGUCUUGUAGAGGGGGGUAGAAUUCCAGGUGUAGCGGUGAAAUGCGUAGAGAUCUGGAGGAAUACCGGUGGCGAAGGCGGCCCCCUGGACAAGGACUGACGCUCAGGUGCGAAAGCGUGGGGAGCAAACAGGAUUAGAUACCCGAGUAGUC
rnacentral:rRNA from 1 species